GAGGCGACAGGGUGGUGGUGAUGAUGGAUGUGUGUGGUGACUGAACUAUGGAGAGGGAAUUUUGUGCUAUGGUCCGUCAGAUUUUUAUAUACAUAAAAGAGGAGGUCCAGAAGAUGGAUUCAAGUACCUUGAACCCAAAAAAUGAAGAUUGUCCUGAUAUGAAAGAGAAUGUCAAGGAAACAAAAGCCAGUCAAUCUGCAUCAUCAUCUAAUUCAAAAAACUCAUAGGCUUAUCCUGUAAUAUAAAGGCAAGGAAUGGAUGUACUAAGGGAGCAGCAGGAGGGGCA